AAAAAAUCAUUGUUAUUUCCAGAUCGAGCUGGUAACAGUGUGUUAAUCAUUCGCUUGCUGUUAUUGUAAGGAUUUCUUUUUGUAUAACUACUAAACUAUUGACUUGGUUUUAAUUCAGAGAUAUAAAGCUUGAGAAUUUGCUGUUGGACCGGGAUGGCUACCUUAAGAUCGUAGACUUCGGCCUCAGCAAAGACAGAUUUGGAUACAGCGACCGCACAAACACCAUGUGCGGCACAAAAGCUUACAUCGCCCCCGAGAUCUUCCUGAAACAUGGAUACGGCAUGGCCGUUGACUGGUGGGCCCUAGGAAUUACCACCUAUAUAAUGCUCAUGUGUGAGUUACCAUUCAACAACGAAGACCCGGUUGAGCUAAUGCAGAGCAUCCUUUACGACGACAUCGAGUUACCAGAAUAUCUAUCAGAGGAUGCCUCUGCAUUUAUAAAAGACGUAAGUUGGCCCCAGCAAAUUAGUAUCAUGUGCCUUUAGUCACGUGUUAUACUAAGGGCAUACAUGCUGUAUAGUUAUUAUUAUUACUACCAUGAUAUAACAUAUGGCCUUUAGUGUGUUUUAGUGGCAGUUACAGGCUUUCACUGAACUUUACAAUAUGUAUUAUUACCCCAGUGAGCUUCUUCUAUUCCAUAGGGUCAGACUAUGAAUGUCAGGAGCAGCGGGUACUCAGUUUAGUAAAGGGGUAUUACUGAUAAUGGCUUGUCCCCUAAAUACAGAACUUAAUCUAUGGUUCAUAUAAGCAGUUAAUAAAUUAAAAAAUAUGAGUUAAUUAGUCCGUUCAAGCAGAUCAGUUACAUAUGCAUAUGGUUACUUUCUAUAUGGGGUUGGAAAAUUGCUUGUAUUUCCUAGGUGGUUACUUUCCCAGUAGGAUAAUAAAAUAGACAUAAACAAUAAUGAUUUAACAACGUUUGUUUUUAUUUUUUGUAGCUCUUAGAAAAAGAUCCAGAAUAUCGCCUCGGUUCGGGUGAGGCUGGUGCAGAAAUGGUGAAAGAGCACCCCUUCUUCAGAGUAGGUUUCUAUUCUAUUCCUUUCAAUUUACAAACAGAAAAGCACUAAUGAAUAUUGCCGUAGCCUCGUAAUGCAUUACAAUUUCUUGUUCCAGCAAUUCUAGUUUUUGGACCAGAUACUCAUCAUUAAAUAUUACCUUUUCAUUUAACUUUCAGGAUAUGGACUGGGACCAUCUAGUACACCGAAUAAUAAGGCCUCCAUUUGAACUAGACAACCAAGACCACCUGGAGAGCCAAGAGAACCCUGAAUGCCAAGCUCCGGCACUGACACCGCCUGCUGUAAGGAUUCCAUCAGAGCUGCAAGAGGCAUUCAGAGGAUUCUAAAUGAACAUCAAAUAAGUAGACGGAAUAGAUGGGGAGGGUGGAGGGCCAGUCCAUAUCUAUAGAAGAAGUCCAUUCAUGAAGAUCAGAGAUCUAGAAUAUCGAAGAUCCAGAAUACCUAGAAAG